rnacentral:lncRNA from 1 species
AUGAAGGUGAGAGAUGAAGAAUUGAGAGAGAGGAUGAAGGUUUUGGUUAGAGCUUGCGGGGCUGCUAAUGUACGUAUGCUGAUCGAGUUUCGUAGCUCCAUUUUAUGCAUAUUUCUCAAGCUAGAAAUGAAUGAUACAAGUCGUAAAAACUUUGGAAAUUACUACGAAGCCCUCAAUGCAGCAGGGCAUUUCUUGGACAGAACAAAGUGUAUUGCUGAAUCUUUUUUGGAUCUGGUUUCUGCAGGUCUGGUUUUGAGAUUCAGAAAUUCCAACCAUAUGCUGCAACUUUGA